rnacentral:rRNA from 1 species
GAUGAACGCUGACAGAAUGCUUAACACAUGCAAGUCAACUUGAACUUCGGUUUGGGUGGCGGACGGGUGAGUAACGCGUAAAGAACUUGCCUCACAGAUAGGGACAACAUUUGGAAACGAAUGCUACUACCUGAUAUUAUGAUUAUAUGGCAUCGUAUAAUUAUGAAAGCUAUAUGCGCUGUGAGAGAGCUUUGCGUCCCAUUAGCUAGUUGGAGAGGUAACGGCUCACCAAGGCGAUGAUGGGUAGCCGGCCUGAGAGGGUGAUCGGCCACAAGGGGACUGAGACACGGCCCUUACUCCUACGGGAGGCAGCAGUGGGGAAUAUUGGACAAUGGACCAGGAGUCUGAUCCAGCAAUUCUGUGUGCACGAUGAAGUUUUUCGGAAUGUAAAGUGCUUUCAGUUGGGAAGAAAAAAAUGACGGUACCAACAGAAGAAGUGACGGCUAAAUACGUG